UUUGUUUUUCUUUCAAUUUGAGAACGAUAUUUACGAUAGGUGUAACGAUAUUUGUAAUUAUUAAAAGUUUGAUCUAGAGAUGAAAAUACAACGUUCAAUGCGAAUGUUACGUAAUAUUGUUAGACGUGGAGAUUUCAAUAUCAGUUCCUGACUUUCAAAUGAAACUAAGUGCUUAUAUAUAUUAUACGUACGUGUAUAUAUUUCAAGACGGAUUAGCCAGAGAUGGAUGACGUACAUCUUUCAUUAAACGCUAUAAAUAACUAUUGUAAGCCAGAAACAAAUACUAUAUUUUAUCUGCUUCGUAGCCAACAUUUGAUGUGAAUAUGUGACAAAUGGCUAAUUAUAGACUCUAUUUAAUCACUUAUUUAAUUAUUUAAGAAAUUGACAAAAAUUGAUUCAUGAUAUGCUUAACAGUAGGUUUAAAGAGAUUUCUCCUAACUAAUCUGUUUUACCAGACCUCAGUCCACUAGCUCUUUGAAACAUAAAAAGAAAAAUAUGCAAAUUUAUUAAGAAUUCUAAGGAACACAAUGAAAAUCUUCACAAAUAAUUUUACCAAGAAUUCAAACAUUAAUCUAAAUGUACAAUCCUCUUGUUUCAAAUUGUUUGAACAUCUGCUUUACAUCUUAAAACCCACGUCAUAAACUACUACCAAUAGGUUCCUAUGUAAUUGUCUAAUGUAUCUAAGUUGUCUAUAAUUAAACAAAAUUUGUCAGAGGUAGUAUUACUAUUUACAGAACGAUGCACCCAACCACUCGCACGAAAAUGUGUACGAAAUAUAACUUUGUAGUAUAGUGCAAAUUAAAUUGCAAAUAAGAAUACAACUUGACAUCCGAAGUGACAAUGAGAAAAACAUGCAUACGCAAUCUACCUUUCUUUGAAAAGGAAGAAAAAGAAAAAAUUCACAAUAAAUAUGUACUUAGUUAUUAGUUAAUCUUAUUAUCCAAAAAUCUAAAAAUCAUUAUUAUUAAGAAAGGAAGAUGGAACAUAUCAAGGAACGUAUAAAAAUGUCGAAUACACUGACAAAACAAUGCCCUAUCUAUCAAAAAAGAAAAAGGGAUGUAUUUGAUGCGUAGAGACGCGCGCACGUCGCAUCCAAUUUCAAACAGUAAUCAAUUCCACCAGUGACGAAGUUCGUGUUUUUCCAUAACAUUUAUCACGACUGUGCCAUGCAAAUCGGGCACGUAACUACCGCAACAAUCGCGAUAAUAUAUGUAUAUUACACAGCGCACGUAACACGCGCAGCGGACACGCGGAAAGCACGUGGCGAAUAUCUUGUGAAUGACUGCGCGCGCGUCUACUUAUGUUGUCACUACGGUUUUUAUCGUAAGCCACCUAAAAGAUGAUUGACUCUUAUCGUUAUUUGAGGAUUUCUAGUCGACGAAUAUAUUCAGUCUCGUCGAAGAAUAAGUGCAAUUAACAAAUGUUAAAAAUACCAGUUGACAGUCUCUUAAUCUCGACUCUGAACAAUCUCAACCGAGUCGAUAACGGUGUACAUAUUCAUUCCCACAUAAAACCACCACAGUGAAGAAACAGCGAAGAGAAACGACAAAAACUCGCACAAUAUUCCUAUAUUUUCCAAUGGAUUAUUUCUUUUCUAUAUUUUACGAAUGUGGUUAGAUUAGAUGCCUGAAAAGAAGUUUAUUUUCCUAAGAGGGUGAAACGACUGGGUGGAGAACGACUACUAUUAUCUCCUUGAUUAAUUAUUUCAAUUACUGGCAGUCACGCACGCUUGUCUAUUUUUUGCCUGUUGUUUAUUAACAAAUCAGACCGUGAUUCAUGCAAAUAACCAGAUAAGAUACUCGACUUAUGUCACUGAAACAAGAUAACGGUUGUCUUUGCAGACUGUCAUGUGUUUUGAAAUAUACAAAGACACAACAAACACCUUCUAUGUAGUCAGUUUCGUACCGUGAAACAGGGGUAUGUUCGUGCGAAUCGGCAUAUGAAAACAAAGAUGACGAUUUAUAAUGUUUGAAACCGUAAAUCACGAAAGCUAUUAAAUUGUCGCGAAAUGAUUUUUCGAUGGUAGAUAGGACGGAAUUGAAACACGAAAGCAGCUCUAUUUUGUAGUACAUUUUUAUUUAUAUGUACUACAUAUAUCGUACUUAAUAUAACGAAAAACGAUAGUUAGCACGAUUUAAUAAUAGACGAAACAUUAUAAAACUAUUGCGAAGAAGAAAGAGGCAAUUGCUUCAAUAUUCAAUGGGAAAGCUUGUUCAAAUAUCCAAAAACUGAAGUUGAAUCCAUAUAAUGAAAUACACUUCGAUUUAUGAAUUUUAUUCCAUUAUUCUGCAUCAUUUCGAAUGAAAUUAACCAAUUUUGCUUCAUCAUUCUGAAUGUUUGUAAAAUCUCUUUCAAGUGUUUGUCACCGAGUUAAUAAAAAAUUUAUCUUGUUGACUACAUAUGUACACUGGUCGCCCAAUUUACGCGGCAUUUUUUUUACGGGGUAAGUCAUAACACAACUUACGCGAUAAUUUUUAUGCGGUCAAUCGUAUCAGUGGUGUAUGAGAUAAGGACAAAAAUACAUUACGUUUUGCUAGUCAUCAUAUGUGUACAUAUUUCUUCUUUAAAAACGAAUAAAACGAAUCCACGCGGGUGUAUAUAUAUGCUCCGAAGAUGACAUUUAUAGAUUCCGAAAAAAUGUCGGUAUUUUUUACGUUGUAUCGAAGAAAGCAAAGGAAUUGACAAAGGUUAUUGCAUAUACACGCGACAUAUUUUUAUGAUCACAGGUUUCCGCCGUCACGAAGUCGGAGCAAAUUCGAAAACUAUUGAAAACAAAGUAAUUCAACGAAUGGGGAAAAUACAUCGAUCCGGAGAAUAAAAAAGUUCCGCAGGACGUGUUCUUACGAAAAAUUUCGUCAGCGGUUUUGCCCUAUAUAGAAGCGAGCUUUCCGACGUAGAUCACUGCGCGUGAUGUGUAAUCGUAUACUAUUUUUUCUCCGACCAUAAAUAAACGCUGCAACCGAGAGCAACAUGCAUCGAUUACUAAUUUUUCUGAUGACUUAUCAAGUGUACCAGUUGGAAUAGAAUGUCACACUCUACUGAAACUGCGAAGGGCUGACUUGUGACGAUGUAAUCUACUAACCUACAUACAGUAUUGGGACAUGCUCCGACAGCGAAGGACUUAAUAGUAAUGAUCUAAUCUACUGAUGUCUAUGCACAAGCACUUAUCUGAGCAAACGUUUGGAAUUAUUUCUGUAAUAUUGUCAUAUUUUUGAAAAUAUGAUGUGCAAUAAAUAUUAUAUUAUAUUACUU